rnacentral:lncRNA from 1 species
UGUUCCCGGGACUCCGAUUCGCGGAAUCCACCGGAGACCAGAGUUCGGUUCCGCGAAACUCUGGUCUCCGAUUUCGCGGAACUCUGGUCUCCGAUGGGUUCCGCGAAUCGGAGUCCGGGAACACUGUUAACUCUGGAUUCCCGGACUCCGAUGGGAACUGCAUCACUGGUCUCCGAUGAUCAGUGAUCGGAACUGCAUCACUGGUCGCAAUUCCCACGGAAAUUAGGAACUGGAGAUGGGGAACGACAGGAACUCUGGUCCGCAAAGGGGACCGUCCGAACAAGGGGCCAUCCCAGAAAUACGUCGUAUAAUUAUAUAUCCCACCAUUUAAAAUAUAUAAAUAUCCUGUAUUAUUAUAUUUAUUUUUAUUUAUUGCAUGUGAUAUUGUGAUCACUCAUUUUUUUUAUUAUAAAAUUUAUGUAUUAUCAGAUAA